CAGGAGGUUAGUGCAAUGGCAUAAGCCAGCUUGACUGCGAGCGUGACGGCGCGAGCAGGUGCGAAAGCAGGUCAUAGUGAUCCGGUGGUUCUGAAUGGAAGGGCCAUCGCUCAACGGAUAAAAGGUACUCCGGGGAUAACAGGCUGAUACCGCCCAAGAGUUCAUAUCGACGGCGGUGUUUGGCACCUCGAUGUCGGCUCAUCACAUCCUGGGGCUGAAGUAGGUCCCAAGGGUAUGGCUGUUCGCCAUUUAAAGUGGUACGCGAGCUGGGUUUAGAACGUCGUGAGACAGUUCGGUCCCUAUCUGCCGUGGGCGCUGGAGAACUGAGGGGGGCUGCUCCUAGUACGAGAGGACCGGAGUGGACGCAUCACUGGUGUUCGGGUUGUCAUGCCAAUGGCACUGCCCGGUAGCUAAAUGCGGAAGAGAUAAGUGCUGAAAGCAUCUAAGCACGAAACUUGCCCCGA
rnacentral:rRNA from 1 species